rnacentral:rRNA from 1 species
GGAAUUUUGCGCAAUGGGCGAAAUCCUGUCGCAGCAACGCCGCGUGAUCGCAGACGGCCUUCGGGUUGUAAAGAUCUGUCAGCAGGGACGAACAAUGACUGUACCUGCAGAGGAAGCACCGGCUAACUCCGUGCCAGCAGCCGCGGUAAUACGGGGGGUGCGAGCGUUGUCCGGAAUCAUUGGGCGUAAAGAGUUCGUAGGUGGUUUGUUAAGGUUGGUGUUAAAGGCGCAGGCUUAACCUGUGUAUGGCAUCGGAUACUGGCAGACUGGAAUGCGGUAGAGGUAAAGGGCAUUUCUGGUGUAGCGGUGAAAUGCUUAGAUAUCAGGAAGAACAUCGGUGGCGUAAGCGCUUUACUGGGCCGUAAUUGACACUGAGGAACGAAAGCCGGGGUAGCAAAUG